AUUGAACGCUGGCGGCAGGCUUAACACAUGCAAGUCGAGCGGAGAGAGGUAGCUUGCUACUGAUCUUAGCGGCGGACGGGUGAGUAAUGCUUAGGAAUCUGCCUAUUAGUGGGGGACAACAUUUCGAAAGGAAUGCUAAUACCGCAUACGUCCUAUGGGAGAAAGCAGGGGAUCUUCGGACCUUGCGCUAAUAGAUGAGCCUAAGUCGGAUUAGCUAGUUGGUGGGGUAAAGGCCUACCAAGGCGACGAUCUGUAGCGGGUCUGAGAGGAUGGUCCGCCACACUGGGACUGAGACACGGCCCAGACUCCUACGGGAGGCAGCAGUGGGGAAUAUUGGACAAUGGGCGCAAGCCUGAUCCAGCCAUGCCGCGUGUGUGAAGAAGGCCUUAUGGUUGUAAAGCACUUUAAGCGAGGAGGAGGCUACUUUAGAUAAUACCUAGAGAUAGUGGACGUUACUCGCAGAAUAAGCACCGGCUAACUCUGUGCCAGCCGCCGCCGUAA
rnacentral:rRNA from 1 species